UGGUAAUCCUACCCGUUGGUAAUUCUACCCGAUGGUAAUCCUACCCGAAGGUGCUUUUACCCGAUGGUAUUCCUACCUGUUGGUAAUCCUACCCGAUGGUAAUCCUACCCGAAGAUGCUUCUACCCAAUGGUAUUCCUACCUGUUGGUAAUCCUACCCGAUGGUGCUUCUACCCGUUGGUAAUCCUACCCGUUGGUAAUCCUACCCGAAGGUGCUUCUACCCGUUGGUAAUCCUAUCCGUUGGUAAUCCUACCCAAUGGUAAUCCUACCCGUUGGUAAUCCUACCCGUUGGUAAUCCUACCCGAAGGUGCUUCUACUCGUUGGUAAUUCUACCCGAUGGUAAUCCUACCCGAU
ensembl:lncRNA